rnacentral:lncRNA from 10 species
UCCUGCUUUUGAUGACGUGGGGUUUGUGUGAGACGUUAUCAUGGAGGGAGACAAGGGGAAGGGUGACCGGGCACUCAUGGUAUGACUGUUGCAACUUAUGAGGUCCUUAAGCUAUUUCAGAAUUUAAAUAUAUAUUUUAAAAUAGCAUCCUGCCGACUUCUGGUUCUCAUUUGCCAAAACUGGGUCAACUGGUUCCAUGCCCUCCUAAACAAAGAAGCAGCAGAUUGUGUCAUCAAUGUGGACAGAUCCUGAUUCUAGCUCUUGGGUGAGCAUGUGGCUGUCCAAACCCAAGCAAGGUGAAGUUAGCAAGAAAGAGAGGCGGGGGGAGGACUGCGGGCAGGAGAGAAUCUGCACAGCUACAUGGAUUCCUAGGAGAAGUUGGGUCCCAUCCAUGAAGCUUUGUGGAUAAAAGGGAGAAGGCCAGGGGCCUGAGGAACCUUCAGUGCCCUUCUGCAGGAGCAAAGCAGUGAGGCUGAGCAGCAGUGCUGGUGUGUGAAGCCCCAUACUUCUCCAACAUGGUAGGGGACGAAUGGUUCUUCAGGAUGGGGCCCUGCCCGCUCUCGAGUGGUAGCCCAAGGCUGGGCACACCAUGAUAUCCAUAACACAAAGAGUUGCAAGUAUUGGAAUCCCCAGCCAAGAGGCAAAUUGAUUGAUUUAGGGACCUUGUACUUCCAAGGGCAGCUUUCACAACAGCUGGAUUCCGGGGCUGUCUCUUCCUCCUUCCAAGUCUUCAUCCCUCAGUGCCACUCCUCUCCUUCCGCUGCCACUGGGCCCUUGGGCCGCAAAUGGGCUUCUUCAUCUGGAGGGAGAGACGGCUGCUGGCAGCCCAAAGUCUCUGUCCUUACAGAUCGUGACCUAAAGGGGAGAGGAAGCUUUCUUCCCUUCUGCUUCCCAGGAAGAAUUCUGAAGGAACUGGUUUGAGCUACAUCAGUACCCCUUGGACUGACUGGAAUCACGUGCCGAGUCCUGUGAGCCUCUGAACCAUGCUCAUGCCUGCAUUCCACACGUAUGGAGCCUCAUCUUCAUGCAGACACUGCUGUGGGGGCUGGAGGUGGAGUGGUGAGCAGCCCAGGUAGGAAGAGGCAGCACCGCCCACAUGCACAGUCUGCCCCCAGCCCCAUGGGAGAUGGGUCACAGCAGGAUCCGUGGUCACUGCGGAUUUCCAGCUUACUAAUCACUGAAGCAGAAGAGCUG